GACGUAGGGCGCGAGCGUUGUCCGGAAUUACUGGGCGUAAAGCGCACGCAGGUGGCUGAGUCAGUCGAUUGUGAAAGCCCUGGGCUUAACCUGGGAAUUGCAGUCGAUACUACUCAGCUAGAGUAUGGGAGAGGGUAGUGGGAAUUCCCGGUGUAGCGGUGAAAUGCGUAGAUAUCGGGAGGAACAUCAGUGGCGAAGGCGGCUACCUGGCCCAAUACCUGACACUCAGGUGCGACAGCGUGGG
rnacentral:rRNA from 1 species